UCAGGGGGAUAGCCUCUCGAAAGAGAGAUUAAGCCCGCAUAAAAUCAGAUUGUGGCAUCACAGACUGAUCAAAUAUUUAUAGGAYAUAGAUGGGCAUGCGGAACAUUAGCUAGUUGGCGGGGUAACGGCUCACCAAGGCUACGAUGUUUAGGGGAUCUGAGAGGAUGACCCCCCACACUGGUACUGAGACACGGACCAGACUCCUACGGGAGGCAGCAGUAAGGAAUAUUGGUCAAUGGACGGAAGUCUGAACCAGCCAUGCCGCGUGCAGGAAGACGGCCCUACGGGUUGUAAACUGCUUUUGUACGGGAAUAAACCCACCUACGUGUAGGUGGCUGAAUGUACCGUAAGAAUAAGGAUCGGCUAACUCCGUGCCAGCAGCCGCGGUAAUACGGAGGAUCCAAGCGUUAUCCGGAUUUAUUGGGUUUAAAGGGUGCGUAGGCGGCCUAUUAAGUCAGGGGUGAAAGACGGUAGCUUAACUAUCGCAGUGCCUUUGAUACUGAUAGGCUUGAAUGUACUUGAGGUAGGCGGAAUGUGACAAGUAGCGGUGAAAUGCAUAGAUAUGUCACAGAACACCAAUUGCGAAGGCAGCUUACUAAAGUAUGAUUGACGCUGAGGCACGAAAGCGUGGGGAUCAAACAGGAUUAGAUACCCUGGUAGUCCACGCCCUAAACGAUGAACCCUCGAUGUU
rnacentral:rRNA from 1 species